GAUGAAGAACGUAGCGAAAUGCGAUACGUAAUGUGAAUUGCAAAUUCAGUGAAUCAUCGAGUCCUUGAACGCACAUUGCGCCCCCUGGUAUUCCGGGGGGCAUGCCUGUCCGAGCGUCAUUGCUGCCCUCAAGCACGGCUUGUGUGUUGGGCCCCGUCCUCCGAUCCCGGGGGACGGGCCCGAAAGGCAGCGGCGGCACCGCGUCCGGUCCUCGAGCGUAUGGGGCUUUGUCACCCGCUCUGUAGGCCCGGCCGGCGCUUGCCGAUCAACCCAAAUUUUUAUCCAGGUUGACCUCGGAUCAGGUAGGGAUACCCGCUGAACUUAAGCAUAUCAAUAAGCGGAGGA
rnacentral:misc_RNA from 1 species